UACGGGGGGGGCAAGCGUUGUUCGGAAUUACUGGGCGUAAAGGGCUCGUAGGCGGCCAACUAAGUCAGACGUGAAAUCCCCAGGCUCAACCUGGGAACUGCGUCUGAUACUGGUUGGCUUGAAUCCGGGAGAGGGAUGCGGAAUUCCAGGUGUAGCGGUGAAAUGCGUAGAUAUCUGGAGGAACACCUGUGGCGAAGGCGCCUUGCUGGCCGAUUUCUGACGCUGAGGCGCGAAAGCGUGGGGAGCAAACAGG
rnacentral:rRNA from 1 species